GCUCCUGUAGCUCAGCUGGAUAGAGCACUUCCCUCCUAAGGAAGGGGUCGUGCGUUCGAAUCGCGCCAGGGGCAC
rnacentral:tRNA from 1 species